rnacentral:rRNA from 1 species
UACGUAGGCAGCAAGCGUUGUUCGGAGUUACUGGGCGUAAAGGGUGUGUAGGCGGUUUUCUAAGUCUGGUGUGAAAUCUCCCGGCUCAACUGGGAGGGUGCGCCGAAAACUGGAAGGCUAGAGUGCGGGAUGGGAGAGUGGAAUUCCUGGUGUAGCGGUGAAAUGCGCAGAUAUCAGGAAGAACACCUAUGGCGAAGGCAGCUCUCUGGGACGGUACUGACGCUGAGACGCGAAAGCGUGGGGAGCGAACAGG